UGCAGUCGAACGGCAGCACGGGUGCUUGCACCUGGUGGCGAGUGGCGUACGGGUGAGUAAUAUAUCGGAACGUACCUUAUUGUGGGGGAUAACGCAGCGAAAGCUGUGCUAAUACCGCAUAAUCCCUUAGGGGGAAAGCGGGGGACCGUAAGGCCUCGCGCAAUUAGAGCGGCCGAUACCUAAUUAGCUAGUUGGUGAGGCAAAGGCUCACCAAGGCAACGAUCAGUAGCUGGUCUGAGAGGACGAUCAGCCACACUGGGACUGAGACACGGCCCAGACUCCUACGGGAGGCAGCAGUGGGGAAUUUUGGACAAUGGGGGCAACCCUGAUCCAGCAAUGCCACGUGAGUGAAGAAGGCCUUCGGGUUGUAAAGCUCUUUUGUCAGGGAAGAAACAGCAGCUCUAACACAGUCUGCGAAUGACGGUACCUGAAGAAUAAGCACCGGCUAACUACGUGCCAGCAGCCGCGGUAAUACGUAGGGUGCAAGCGUUAAUCGGAAUUACUGGGCGUAAAGCGUGCGCAGGCGGUUAUGUAAGACAGGCGUGAAAUCCCCGGGCUUAACCUGGGAAUUGCGCUUGUGACUGCAUAGCUAGAGUAUGUCAGA
rnacentral:rRNA from 1 species